AUUGUUUUCCCAAAAUGACAUAAAACCGCAUUUGAGCGCACGAAACAAAUGCAAUGGCGAUUAUAUAGUUAGCAAAGUACACCAAUCAUCGAAUAUGACACCGCCUUAACGAGAAAUGGGUUCUGAACUGACACCAGGUUGCUCAACACUAGUUUGCCGCCACGCAAGGUUCUCAAACCAGGAAGCUAUUUCAAGCUAAAUGCUAACUAGUUGUCUCGUCGUGGGCUCCUGGGUAAACGGCCAGGCUGGUUUAACGGUGGGUUGUGGGCUUCAGUGAAGAGAAAUGGAUACCAUAGUGCAAGGAAGUGUGUGUCUUAAAACAGAGAUUGAAAGGCCUCUCCUUUCCGCCAAAAGACCAAAGAUAGACAAUACAGUGACUAACACCAAUACAAGCACAUAUGACCUCCCGGAGCUUUUGACAUCACAAACCAUUGACUCCCCAUCUUUGUCCUCACCCAGGGAUGCAGACCUAAUAUGCUCAGAACAAAAUGGACACAUUCAGUCCAAAAAACCUUAUGAGCAAAUUCAAAACACUGAAUUAACUGUCAGGCCUCAGGCUGAAGUCACAACUUCAAACACACCUGAAGUCUGUGUUACCACUAAAGAGAGUCACUUCCUUCACAUGAAAAAAUAUGAUCAGCUAGACAAGCUUAACCCAAGCCCAUUAUCAGGGUCUCUCAGUUUGAAAGACACUACUGCUCACAUGUCCGGUCAUCCCAAGUGUCAACUGGAGAAAUCACUUGAAGACAAAGGUCCUGCUGAUUGCUGCUUGCCUUUUAAAAAUGGAAUGUCGAUUGAUGCGGAAGUCAGAUAUCAGUUAGAUUUCUCUUGUGACUCCGACCGACAUGAUGCUGGUUCGAGUACAUGGAGUCAAUCUGCUGCAUUCGGUGAGAGUAAUCAGAGGGAGGAGGACUUUACUGAUACUAUCUCCCGAAAGGGAUUGAUCGAGGCUGAGGGAGCGACAUCUUUUUUCAGGUUUACUAAGGAGUUUCAAUUAUUAGUCUCUUCACCUGAUGAGGACAUCCCCAUAAUAUUGGUAGAGGAUGAAAGAAAAUUGGACAUGCGUGAUAGUCCUGUUGUGUGUGACUUGGAAACAAAUGACCAAGCCAACGAUGAAGGAAGGAGCGACAUCUCCUCUCCCGUUCAAUGUACUGAGGUGUCACUUAUCGCUUACCACGCUACACCAGCCAAGUACAUUUCAACUGAGACAGGAAGCUCUGAUGACUUAGGACAGGCAAAAGGAGAGCAUUGUGAGACGGCAGCCAAAAAAGAGAGGGAAAGAGUUGAUCACACGCCAGAGAAUGACAUGUCUGCGAGAAUCAGCAAAGAGUCUGCUGAAGGAGAUAAUGAUGCAGACCCUCACAGAGUAAUUGAGCUUGCAAUCUGGAGCAAAACUGUCAGGGAGGCUGAAGGGAAUUGCUGUAACUCUGAGAGCACCGCAGGUGAAGAAUUACCUUCAUCAGUAAAAGUCUGUGAGCUGGAAAUUCCUCUUUCUCCCACAUCUGAUGUCAGACCACUAUUGCUGACUUUGGAUCAGACAGUUCAGUCUCCUAACCAGAACAGACCACAGCAACAUGAAGAUGAAAAAAAUUACUUGAGUGAGUCUUAUUCUGUUCCAUCCAUUCUGACGCACAACACAUUUGGCUAUGAAGGCCGUUGUUGCCCGACAUCAAGUACUAACAUUAGUUCACAAAAGACUACAAAUCCUCUUCCAGCUGGGGAUGGAAGACAACAGAGUUGUGGUAGUGUGGAACAGAGCAGCUGUUUGCCUGUCAGCUGCGACCACCUGAAGGCCCAGCAUGUUAAACAUUCACCGUCUGGAACCGGUACAUGGGAUGAGCCAAAGGAAAUCAAAGAAAUGACAGGCCAAAUAAAAUCGGAGAUGUUGCUGCAACAAAGUAGACCGAACAAUGAGGACAUGACUGAACUACCACCAGUGGAGGGCUUGACAGAGGACACCGAACUGACACCAGGAGAUGAAGCUAAACAAGGCAUCACACACUGCAGUUUCCCUGAAUACCAGCAAACAGUGGAGAUGCUGGAGUGCAAAUAUGAGCUUUUGUCAGUGUGUUUUCCUUUAGUCAGUGAUGCAGUCGUACCAGGCCCUCAUGAAUUAAGCCCCACACAUCAUUCACGAAACACGGACUGCACCAUGGCUCAAAAUUGUAAGGACAGAUUCUCCCUAGUGCCAUCUGCUGUCGCUAUGUACACCCAUGUGCCAGGGAGCUUUGACAACUUCCACAAGAUCCAACUGUCACCAGAUGAAGAUGAUUCUGGCCAAGGCAACUGCUGUCUUCUCACCAGCUUGGAUGUGCAGCUAAUGAAAUCCCCGCAAAUGGACCACUCCAUGCUCGAAGCAGAGGGUGAGCAUGAGGAUAUGCCAAAAGAGAUGGAGGAGGACCAAGUCCACGAGGAGGGGGUUAAAGUUGAGUGUCACACCGAGGAUUUAGCCAGCGGAGGUUUUAACACUGAUACUGACAGUACUAAACAGGUAUCAGGGGAGAACAUUGUUGCUUUUGAGUUUUCCAAUGAUGGGAGCAACAGCCCACCCUCCCACUCAAUCCAGUGCCUGGAGUUUGAGAUGAAAAAAGAGUAUAACUUGGUCUUAAAGGAACUUAACGUGUAUUUUGAUGUCUGUAAAAGUGAAUUUACAUGUGACGAUGGGACACCGCCUGAGCAGUGUGGUGAGGUGCUAUGCAAUGAAGUCUCUAAGAGCAAAUGUUACCUCAGCAGCCCAGAACUGGCUCUCCACAGAGAUCGAACGCUAGAUCUUGAUGAAGACUGUAGCACUAAAUAUGUGUAACAGAUCCAGAAGCUUGUCGUAUAACCAGCCGUGAAGGUGAACAGGAAGUGCCCAUUGGCUGCCACAUGUCCUCAAAACCAUCAUGUCUUGUUGCAGAGAAACACAAAGAGCCCCAGCAGACAGAGCUGAAAAGGAGAGCGUGGUCACCGUCCUUCAGGUGUCUACCUCUCAUGCAGCCACAAAACGACACACCAUUGUGGGAAGCCAAGAGACUGGAGCCUCUGAGGACAUGCACACGGCCAAUCCGACUCGGACUGUCCAAGAAAGCCAAGCCCAAAUCCUUGCACCGUUUCCAACCAUACAAAUAAACCAAGAAAAAAAAAUGGUGAGAGAAGAAUUCUCCAAUGUUCACAGGAACUAUUCUGAGUCACAGUCCAUUCAUCAUUGUGCAGUUGUGUGAGUGUUGCAGUAAGUUUUUUUUUUUUUUACACAUUUGCAUUAAUACUUGUAGAAGGUUCUGACACACAAUGGCAGCUAUUACUGCCUGUUUUUAAUAUUGUUCCAGAUAUUUAUACUUGUUUAAUAAUCCUUUUGAGGCGUUGCUGUGGCUUCAAAAUAUCUCUCCUUUGCCUGUUGAAAUAUUCAUAUUAUCCAUUAAAUAAGUUAAUAUAAAAAAAAAGCAAUGUAAUU